CUUCCCAGGAUAAUUGGGUUGACCUCUUGCCCUGGGCGGAAUUUGCCCGGAGCAAUGCUACGCAUGACUCUUCCAAACUUGGUCCUUUUUUGUUGUAUAUGGUCUCUACCCUACUGUAUUAUCUUCUGUGUUCUCUGAUACAUAUAUUCCCACACUGGAUGAGCAUCUGACCUCUAGGAGGAAAACAUGGGAUCUGGUUCAUAUUGCCUUAGUUGGUGCUGCUUCCCGUUUUAAGCAGCAUGCUGAUAAAAGAUGUAGUGCUGAACCUUCUUAUCAAGUAGGGGACAAGGUUUAGCUGUCCACUAGACAGAUCAGACUAAGGGUACCCUCUAUGAAGUUCGCUCCAAGAUACAUUGGUCCUUUCCGUGUUUCACGUAGGAUUAAUCCGGUGUCUUAUGUUCUUGACCUCCCUGCCAACCUUCGAAUACCCCGUACUUUUCAUGUUUCUUUAUUAAAGCCACUUAUCUGCGAUAUACUUCUCAUUCCGCACCUCCCCCUCCCUUGGUGGUUGCGGGACAGGAAGAGUACGAAGUCCCAGAACCGUUUUGCGGUUAACCACAGCUUAAAUGACGAACGGCUGGGUGGUUGUCGUUCGUAAGAACAAACACUUGGCGGUGGCGGCCAACUUGACUUGCCGAACGCCCCAGCAGUGUUCGUCGUCGACUGCGUGGAACUAGUUUCGGUCACUGUUUUACACGAACACCGCUGGGACCUCCAGACCUUCACCCGUUUGUUUAUAAACAUACGAAUGCAGCGUCGUUCGGUACUUUCAUACUCACAAACUAGACCGACCCGGAGGACUAAAAAGUAUGGAACUAAUCCUGGGCUGAAUUAUGCCGAACGGUCGUUGAGAAAACGUUAACCCCAUGGUGAUCCAACUGUAUUCGUGAGAUCUGAGCGCUUUUCAGAUAUAUUGAGCGCUCAGAUCCAAGCUAUCCGGGGAUAUGUUGGUUACAGUCUGAGCUUAAAAGAUAUUUUCUGUACCUGGAGAUAAUUAAGUUACUACGGCCACUUAAGCCAAUUAUCUCCAGGAUGGAGGGGAGGGUUUAGAAAAAUGCACUUUGUUAUGAUUGGUUCAUGUUACUUGUGUUUCAGUGCCCCACCAGGUCCAGUGGGUGUUCCCUGGCCUGGAAAAACUAUGUACCCAUUAAAAUCAGUCUUCUUACCCUCAACAAGCCUUGACUCGUGUUGUACGGAAAUGCUAAUCACAAGCUCUGUUCAGAGCUUCAAGAAUCUUCUACACCUCAAGGGAUAUCGGUAGUUGCUGAAGUGGGACUUUUUGCCGCUCUCCCAGCUCGGAGACAAGGACAUCCAGGCGGUCCAACCCUCAGCUAGCCUGGGGCAACCGCAACAGAAGGGUUACGUUUCUAAGAAACGCUUAUGGAUUCCUGCUGUUGGCAUUCAUGCUGGACUCCUCCUUCGCUCUUUCCAUGCCCAGUACCCCGAUAAGCCUGGUCCUGCCCAACCGGUGGGUGGUCUUUGUCUGGGGGUGCUAUUGCAGUGCCCGAUCGGCACCAAGAUGUGACUGCAUCUGAUCGGUGCGGUCACACUAAAGGAGGGAGAGGUUGCUUACCUUACCUACAGAGCCUCUCCCUCCGUGCAGUCCUUAAUACAGCGUCCAAGUCCAACGUUAUGAAGGACGCCAGCCGCUGCAAGGUGGCGCUAUGUAAUAAUGCCCCCCACAAUUACAGUGGCGUGAAGCGUCACGUUUUUCCCCUGCACGCACGUUCUCGGGUCAUGGCACCCAAAUCAGCCAAUAGCAGGGUUUACUGGGUUAUUUAAACCCAAAUCUGCAGUUUUUCAGUGCCCUGUCGUGGAUUCCAUCCUGUUGGUUAUCAGAGAGCGCGUUCCUGAUUCUGUUGAUCGGUUUUUGAUCUUGGCUUGGCUUGACUUCCCGUAUUUCUGGUAUCCCUGACAGUUUGGCUUUGUUCUUACCGUAUUUUUGUCCCUUUCUGUAUUCCUGACCAAGGCUCGUGACUAUUUUUUCUAUUACAUUAAUUCCGGCCAUUCUAAGGCCCGGUAAUACGGUGUUACUGUUUGUCUUAGUUACGCAUUUUACUUAAUUCUGCGUGUUGGGCCACUGGUUCGUCCUGACAACCAUUACACAUAUCCACCAUACUUGAUCAUUCUGAGCACUCUCCUGCAGGUAUGAUGCAACCUAGUAACCCUGGUGGUGAUCACCUCAUUUUGAUGAUUGUGGUUUUCAUUUCCCAGGCUUCUGGAACGGUCUGUGGACUACCCCAGGUUUCUCUUGACAUUACCUUGUCUGUUAUGCCAUCCUUAUCCGAUUCUCUUGUACUGGGUUCUGGAACUUCUGGCUUGACUGAUUUCUGUCUGGGGAUCUUGAUAGGUCCAGGGAGUUUCAGAUGCGAGUAGGUGACUCAUAGCAAAGGUAUGGACCUCUAGUACUUCGGUAUUGUCCAGGGCAUCUUGACGAACUUGGUCUGGCUGGUGCCUGGCUAGGAGCUUGGAUCCCGUUUCAGUCCCCCUGACCAUUAUUCUGCAAGUUUUCACUUCUCUGUAUGAGAAUGGAUGGGCAUACCAGAUGAUGAAUUUGUACAAGUCUGUAAUUUCUUCAGCUCAUCACUGUUUUGAUGGAUACCGGGCGGGUCUACAUCCGUUGGUUUGCCAUCUGCUUAAAGCACUCAGCUUUCUCGUCCUCCAUUUUUAAUUUAUUUACUACUGGCAUUUAUAAAGCACCAACAUAUUCCGCAGCAGUGUUAUUAGGCUAUGUGUGGUGUUUUGUGUGUUCUCUUUUUGACUCAUAUUCUUCUAGUUAGGAACUUUCAUUGAAGCAACUUUCACCCUAUUUUGAUUUAUUGGUUUCGGAUUAUUAUUAUUUCAGGCAUUGGGACUGUGGAGCUCACUCUUGUGUUUGACCUAUCUCAAUGGAACAAAACUUCCAUCAGAUAGGUUACUUAUCCUGCCUUCUCCUUUCAGUGUUUACAGGAAUACGAACAACGUACGAUUGCCUAUAAGCAGCCUUUUUGUCCUUUCCUUCCGGUCCCUGGUUUUACGGGUGUCUAGUAUGACUCUGGUUGCUGUGUUUAAUGGAUUAUGUCCCAGACAUGCGUGGAUACCACUAUGUUUGAGGCACAUUUAUCUAGAGGAGCAGCUGUUUUUUUGCUUGGUCAACGUUUAUUUGAUACGUCUCGUAAGACUACAUUUCAUGACAUUUAUUUGAAACAGAUUUGACAUGAUUUUUCUUCAGUUAUCACUCAGCUUUAAACUUGCAACAAAGAAAACAAAAGGCGUCAAGAAAAAUGCGCAGAGCGAAUGCAUCGCUGGGAGGAAGAAUACUUGCCUCCGUGGAGGGGAGUCCUUGCCACUCUUUGGUUUUCUCUCUGGAUUUAUUCACAGGUCUCAUUUUGGCUGUGGUGGUUACACAAGUGAUGUGAGAUGGUUACAUUUGCAUACUUUGUUGUAUUGUUUGUUUGCCAUAUGUUUUGAUCUGCAUGAUGGUUUAAAUGUGCUAUUAUUGUCUUUAUAAUGGCAUUUAUUUGGUCAUGUUAUAUUUUCUUUGCAUAGGAUCUAAGCACUGGACUCCUGUGUGUUUUUUUGUCUUUGCAGUACGAUUUUGCAGAAACUAAGUUUGGUCUCGAGUUUAUGUUCAUUGGUUUUUAUUUUUGUAUUUUUUAUUAUGGUCUUUAUUUUUGCGAGUUAGUGCAGAUGGUAUGUUCACUGUCAUCUUGAUAAGGCAGUUGUUUGCCGUUGAUGGAGACAGUGUUUCUGGACUCCCAUGUUCUUGUUCGACUGGAUUUUUUUGAGAGUUUGAAGUGAUAGUAGUUUCUGGAUGUGGAUUUUGUUAAUCUGUUCAGUCAAAGAAAGAGGAAGUACUGAGGGUGGUGCUUGGUCUUAUACAGGGUAAAAGUGUCAGGAUUGCAUGACGGUAUGUUUUCCUGUAUAACUGUUUUUCUAUGUGUGUAUUGUUUCUUUGCUGAUCUUGUGUGUGGCUGACCACCAGUAUAUCGCUGCCACAGAUUCCCUUUUCCAAAACAACGUAGCUCCAACACGCAUCAAAGUAAAUAUCACUGGUAUCGCCUUUACCCCCACACAUUAAAUCGAGACUGAAUGCUGGGAAUAGAUCUGUUUAAUGCAGGCAAGCACUCACAAUUUAUACACACAGUAAACUCCUCCCCUGUGCCUGAGAGAUAAUU
rnacentral:lncRNA from 1 species